UAGGGAAUCUUCCACAAUGGACGAAAGUCUGAUGGAGCAACGCCGCGUGAGCGAAGAAGGUUUUCGGAUCGUAAAGCUCUGUUGCUGGAGAAGAACGAGUGCGAGAGGAAAUGCUCGUACUGUGACGGUAUCCAGCCAGAAAGCCACGGCUAACUACGUGCCAGCAGCCGCGGUAAUACGUAGGUGGCAAGCGUUGUCCGGAAUUAUUGGGCGUAAAGCGCGCGCAGGCGGCUUCUUAAGUCUGAUGUGAAAUCUUGCGGCUCAACCGCAAACGGUCAUUGGAAACUGGGAAGCUUGAGUGCAGAAGAGGAGAGUAGAAUUCCACGUGUAGCGGUGAAAUGCGUAGAGAUUAGGAAGAACACCAGUGGCGAAGGCGGCUUUCUGGACUGUAACUGACGCUGAGGCACGAAAGCGUGGGUAGCAAACAGGAUUAGAUACCCUGGUAGUCCACGCCGUAAACGAUGAGUACUAGGUGUAGGAGGUAUCGACCCCUUCUGUGCCGCAGUAAACGCAAUAAGUACUCCGCCUGGGAAGUACGAUCGCAAGAUUA
rnacentral:rRNA from 1 species